rnacentral:rRNA from 1 species
UGGGGAAUAUUGCACAAUGGGCGCAAGCCUGAUGCAGCCAUGCCGCGUGUAUGAAGAAGGCCUUCGGGUUGUAAAGUACUUUCAGCGGGGAGGAAGGUGUUGUGGUUAAUAACCACAGCAAUUGACGUUACCCGCAGAAGAAGCACCGGCUAACUCCGUGCCAGCAGCCGCGGUAAUACGGAGGGUGCAAGCGUUAAUCGGGAUUACUGGGCGUAAAGCGCACGCAGGCGGUCUGUCAAGUCGGAUGUGAAAUCCCCGGGCUCAACCUGGGAACUGCAUCCGAAACUGGCAGGCUUGAGUCUUGUAGAGGGGGGUAGAAUUCCAGGUGUAGCGGUGAAAUGCGUAGAGAUCUGAGGAAUACCGGUGGCGAAGGCGGCCCCCUGGACAAAGACUGACGCUCAGGUGCGAAAGCGUGGGGAGCAAACA